rnacentral:sRNA from 1 species
AAGGCCAAGGAAUUGGUGACCUUCAGGAUGAAGAUUCGGCUACUUAGUUUAGUGGUCGGCAAGGAAAGCAAACUGGACAUUGAACGGACUCAUAUUAGUAACUAGGAUGGGUUACUACUAGGGAAGGGAAAUGGAUACCGCUUAAGGAUUAGGCGAUGUGAGCUAACUAGGAUAGUUAGCGGACCAGGAUAAGGUCAUGGACACCGCUAGGAUGGCGAUGAAAGGACUGAGCUGAAGGACAUCAGCAUACUAUCAAGGAAUGAUGCAUGGAGCACCUUUAGUAGCGGGAUUGCUGCGAGUAAGACUAUAACCCCGAUGGGCGAAAGCCCUCGGGGUUUUUCUU